rnacentral:tRNA from 1 species
GCCGACGUGGCGGAAUUGGCAGACGCCCUUGGCUUAGGACCAAGGGGGCGAAAGCCCUUGCAGGUUCGAGUCCUGCCGUCGGCA